rnacentral:lncRNA from 1 species
GCAUAAUUUAUGCAAUGGUUAUGAUUUACUUGGUCAAGUUAAGAGAAAAUAAAAUAGUACAAAUUUUGUCCAUAUUUAUUCUUGGAAUGUGAAACAGAGAAGAUGGAUUAACAUGAUCAGACUAUUGAGGGGAUGCACAAACGAAAACACGGUGGUUGUUAAACUUAAAUAUACUUUUGCUGUCAUGGUUUUGGAAAUCAUCCCGGUGGAAGUUGUUAUGGUUGUUGCCGGAGCGGUGGAGGAAAAGGACUAUGUCUUUGAUCCGGAGGUUGCCUUUGGUCCGGUAAUGGUG